rnacentral:lncRNA from 1 species
AAAAAACCUCGAAGAUAAGAAAUUUUCAAAUCAAAACUAAUAAAAUGUCAAAGAUUACAGGUAAGGGGGUUGGUUACACAGAGGGAAGGUGUUGGCACCCAAAGUGUUCUAGGGAUCCAUUUUUUCUAUGCAAGUGUUUUGGUCAAAAUGAUGUUUGAUAAGAUAUAGAGUGAAGGGAUGAGAAAAGAAUUCAUUAAUUAUAUUUUUGUGUUUAAAAAGACCUUCGGUCUUAU